UGGUGGUGCUAAUUAGAAAGAAAAUGCAGGUUAGUGCCAAAGAGGAAGAGAAAAGUUUGGAUGUGCGAAUGAAUACGAAAUGAUUGGUCGGGUGAGUAUUUAUAGCAAAGGAGUAGGUGAAUGUUGAAGCCUUUGGAAUCAAAGCAAGUUGUCAGCCUUGUAAACAUGAACUCUAACGACAACAAGUGCUCCACGUUACGCGAUUUGCAGAAAUCGGUUUUCAUAAUUGAAACUGUUGCUGAAGCUGGUAAUAUUUGUUGUCGAUAUUGUGAGUGAAGGUAAAGGCAAAGCAUGGGGCAUGCCCCGAAAGCUACGUCAUGACAUACGAGUCCUCGAGGAUCUAUCUGUUUCUUGAGCAAACCGUUGACCCCAUUUACGGCCCUUUGCGCCUCCACCGGAUCUUACCCUCUUGUCUUUAUUUUUGUUUAUUUUUAGUAUUUUUGUCUCUAUGCAUCUUUAUUUAUUCUACUAGUAAUUUAAUAAGUGUGUAUAAUUUUUUUAUGUAUUAUUUAAUACAUUUUUGCGAUAUUUUGUAAUGAGAAUUAAUUGUUACGUAGCAAAUAUUCUACCUAAAUUUUAGAGCAUCUUUAAGGGAGAUGUCAAAUUUUAAACAUCAAAAUGAUAUUUGAUGGCUUAAGUGGUAAUUUGAUAUUUUGUACAAUUUUUU